rnacentral:rRNA from 1 species
AUUGAACGCUGGCGGCGUGCUUAACACAUGCAAGUCGAUCGGUAACGCGGGGGCAACCCUGGCGACGAGAGGCGGACGGGUGAGGAACGCUUGGGAAUCUGCCUAUCAGCGGGGGACAACACGGGGAAACUCGUGCUAAUACCGCAUACGCUCUACGGAGGAAAGCCGGGGACCGCAAGGCCUGGCACUGAUAGAUGAGCCCAAGCCGGAUUAGCUAGUUGGCGGGGUAACGGCCCACCAAGGCGACGAUCCGUAGCUGGUCUGAGAGGACGAUCAGCCACACUGGGACUGAGACACGGCCCAGACUCUUACGGGAGGCAGCAGUAGGGAAUCUUCCACAAUGGGCGAAAGCCUGAUGGAGCAACGCCGCGUGAGUGAAGAAGGAUUUCGGUUCGUAAAACUCUGUUGUAAGGGAAGAACAAGUACAGUAGUAACUGGCUGUACCUUGACGGUACCUUAUUAGAAAGCCACGGCUAACUACGUGCCAGCAGCCGCAGUAAUAC